UAUUGAUUGGUGCUUGCAUCAUGAUUUACAUUUGAGUGAGUGGCGAACUGGUGAGUAACACGUGGGAAACCUGCCCAGAAGCGGGGGAUAACACCUGGAAACAGAUGCUAAUACCGCAUAACAACUUGGACCGCAUGGUCCGAGUUUGAAAGAUGGCUUCGGCUAUCACUUUUGGAUGGUCCCGCGGCGUAUUAGCUAGAUGGUGGGGUAACGGCUCACCAUGGCAAUGAUACGUAGCCGACCUGAGAGGGUAAUCGGCCACAUUGGGACUGAGACACGGCCCAAACUCCUACGGGAGGCAGCAGUAGGGAAUCUUCCACAAUGGACGAAAGUCUGAUGGAGCAACGCCGCGUGAGUGAAGAAGGGUUUCGGCUCGUAAAACUCUGUUGUUAAAGAAGAACAUAUCUGAGAGUAACUGUUCAGGUAUUGACGGUAUUUAACCAGAAAGCCACGGCUAACUACGUGCCAGCAGCCGCGGUAAUACGUAGGUGGCAAGCGUUGUCCGGAUUUAUUGGGCGUAAAGCGAGCGCAGGCGGUUUUUUAAGUCUGAUGUGAAAGCCUUCGGCUCAACCGAAGAAGUGCAUCGGAAACUGGGAAACUUGAGUGCAGAAGAGGACAGUGGAACUCCAUGUGUAGCGGUGAAAUGCGUAGAUAUAUGGAAGAACACCAGUGGCGAAGGCGGCUGUCUGGUCUGUAACUGACGCUGAGGCUCGAAAGUAUGGGUAGCAAACAGGAUUAGAUACCCUGGUAGUCCAUACCGUAAACGAUGAAUGCUAAGUGUUGGAGGGUUUCCGCCCUUCAGUGCUGCAGCUAACGCAUUAAGCAUUCCGCCUGGGGAGUACGGCCGCAAGGCUGAAACUCAAAGGAAUUGACGGGGGCCCGCACAAGCGGUGGAGCAUGUGGUUUAAUUCGAA
rnacentral:rRNA from 2 species